GUCUGAAUAUGGGGGGACCAUCCUCCAAGGCUAAAUACUCCUGACUGACCGAUAGUGAACCAGUACCGUGAGGGAAAGGCGAAAAGAACCCCGGCGAGGGGAGUGAAAAAGAACCUGAAACCGUGUACGUACAAGCAGUGGGAGCACGCUUAGGCGUGUGACUGCGUACCUUUUGUAUAAUGGGUCAGCGACUUAUAUUCUGUAGCAAGGUUAACCGAAUAGGGGAGCCGAAGGGAAACCGAGUCUUAACUGGGCGUUAAGUUGCAGGGUAUAGACCCGAAACCCGGUGAUCUAGCCAUGGGCAGGUUGAAGGUUGGGUAACACUAACUGGAGGACCGAACCGACUAAUGUUGAAAAAUUAGCGGAUGACUUGUGGCUGGGGGUGAAAGGCCAAUCAAACCGGGAGAUAGCUGGUUCUCCCCGAAAGCUAUUUAGGUAGCGCCUCGUGAAUUCAUCUCCGGGGGUAGAGCACUGUUUCGGCAAGGGGGUCAUCCCGACUUACCAACCCGAUGCAAACUGCGAAUACCGGAGAAUGUUAUCACGGGAGACACACGGCGGGUGCUAACGUCCGUCGUGAAGAGGGAAACAACCCAGACCGCCAGCUAAGGUCCCAAAGUCAUGGUUAAGUGGGAAACGAUGUGGGAAGGCCCAGACAGCCAGGAUGUUGGCUUAGAAGCAGCCAUCAUUUAAAGAAAGCGUAAUAGCUCACUGGUCGAGUCGGCCUGCGCGGAAGAUGUAACGGGGCUAAACCAUGCACCGAAGCUGCGGCAGCGACGCUUAUGCGUUGUUGGGUAGGGGAGCGUUCUGUAAGCCUGCGAAGGUGUGCUGUGAGGCAUGCUGGAGGUAUCAGAAGUGCGAAUGCUGACAUAAGUAACGAUAAAGCGGGUGAAAAGCCCGCUCGCCGGAAGACCAAGGGUUCCUGUCCAACGUUAAUCGGGGCAGGGUGAGUCGACCCCUAAGGCGAGGCCGAAAGGCGUAGUCGAUGGGAAACAGGUUAAUAUUCCUGUACUUGGUGUUACUGCGAAGGGGGGACGGAGAAGGCUAUGUUGGCCGGGCGACGGUUGUCCCGGUUUAAGCGUGUAGGCUGGUUUUCCAGGCAAAUCCGGAAAACUAAGGCUGAGGCGUGAUGACGAGGCACUACGGUGCUGAAGCAACAAAUGCCCUGCUUCCAGGAAAAGCCUCUAAGCAUCAGGUAACAUCAAAUCGUACCCCAAACCGACACAGGUGGUCAGGUAGAGAAUACCAAGGCGCUUGAGAGAACUCGGGUGAAGGAACUAGGCAAAAUGGUGCCGUAACUUCGGGAGAAGGCACGCUGAUAUGUAGGUGAAGCGACUUGCUCGUGGAGCUGAAAUCAGUCGAAGAUACCAGCUGGCUGCAACUGUUUAUUAAAAACACAGCACUGUGCAAACACGAAAGUGGACGUAUACGGUGUGACGCCUGCCCGGUGCCGGAAGGUUAAUUGAUGGGGUCAGCGCAAGCGAAGCUCUUGAUCGAAGCCCCGGUAAACGGCGGCCGUAACUAUAACGGUCCUAAGGUAGCGAAAUUCCUUGUCGGGUAAGUUCCGACCUGCACGAAUGGCGUAAUGAUGGCCAGGCUGUCUCCACCCGAGACUCAGUGAAAUUGAACUCGCUGUGAAGAUGCAGUGUACCCGCGGCAAGACGGAAAGACCCCGUGAACCUUUACUAUAGCUUGACACUGAACAUUGAGCCUUGAUGUGUAGGAUAGGUGGGAGGCUUUGAAGUGUGGACGCCAGUCUGCAUGGAGCCGACCUUGAAAUACCACCCUUUAAUGUUUGAUGUUCUAACGUUGACCCGUAAUCCGGGUUGCGGACAGUGUCUGGUGGGUAGUUUGACUGGGGCGGUCUCCUCCUAAAGAGUAACGGAGGAGCACGAAGGUUGGCUAAUCCUGGUCGGACAUCAGGAGGUUAGUGCAAUGGCAUAAGCCAGCUUGACUGCGAGCGUGACGGCGCGAGCAGGUGCGAAAGCAGGUCAUAGUGAUCCGGUGGUUCUGAAUGGAAGGGCCAUCGCUCAACGGAUAAAAGGUACUCCGGGGAUAACAGGCUGAUACCGCCCAAGAGUUCAUAUCGACGGCGGUGUUUGGCACCUCGAUGUCGGCUCAUC
rnacentral:rRNA from 1 species